CUUGUGACCGACGAGUUCAGUUGUCCCUGGGCCACCUUUUCAUUGCUGUUAAAUGGGUCUUUAAUUUUUUGGCUGCCUUUGUAAGGUAUUUUUCAACCUUAUUAAAGGAGGUUAUUUGGUGUACCUAACUUUUUAUGAAAAUGUGGCUUGCUUUGUUUUCCUGAUAGUCCUCUCCAUCAGAUCCAGGUGCUUGAAGGGGCGGAUCAUGAAAUAUGUUAGCAUAAGCUUUGUUUCACUUAAACCAUCAGCAUGCAUUCAUUUCUCAACCUUUUACUGUGGGACCCCACUUUGUAAACAACUUGUGAAGGAGCCCAAUUCCUGUGAUGAAGCUUCACUUUUAUAGUGGGGGGACCUCUCUGUUUAACAUCUCUAUACUAACUACAACUGAAAUAAACAUCUUUGAG
rnacentral:lncRNA from 1 species